UAGGCAUGAGGCCGUUUGAGUUCUGUUGA
rnacentral:piRNA from 1 species